rnacentral:lncRNA from 1 species
AUGUCGAAGCAAGGAUGUGGUGAGUCCUCUGGUGCAAAAUUCUGGAUUUCCUUGGGUCUUCUGGUAGGAUCCCUGAUCAACAAUGCUGACAAUACAGGAGCCAAAAAUCUGUAUAUCAUCUCCGUGAAGAGGAUCAGGGACGGCUGAACAGACUUCCCUGCCAGUGUGGGUGACAUGGGGAUGGCCACAGUCAAGAAAGACAAACCAGAGCUCAGAAAAAAGGUACAUCCAGCAGUGGUCACUUGACAACAAAAGUCAUAUGGAGAAAAGACGGUGUGUUUCUUUAUUUUGAAGGUAAUGCAGGGGUCAUAAUAAAAAACAAAGACGAGAUGAAGGGUUCUGCCAUUACAGGACCAGUAGCAAAGGAGUGUGCAGACUUGUGGCCCCGGAUUGCGUUCAAUACUGGCAGCAU